rnacentral:rRNA from 1 species
GCUUGUCUCAAAGAUUAAGCCAUGCAUGUCUAAGUAUAAAUAACUACACAGUAAAACUGCGAAUGGCUCAUUAGAACAGUUAUAGUUUAUUUGAUAAAUUAAAUGGAUAACUGUAGGAAACUAGAGCUAAUACAUGCCAAGGCCGUAAGGCUGCAUUUAUUAGAUAUACCAAGUAGGUGAAUCAUAAUAACUUUGCAAAUCGAAACUACGUUUCGAUACAUCAUUCAAGUUUCUGACCUAUCAUGCUCUCGAUGGUAGUGUAUUGGACUACCAUGGCAGUCACGGGUAACGGAGAAUUAGGGUUCGAUUCCGGAGAAGGAGCCUGAGAAACGGCUACCACAUCCAAGGAAGGCAGCAGG